CAACAGCUACAAGUAAACUGAUGCUACAUAUAAACUAAUACUACAGGUAAACUAAUGCUACAGGUAAACUAAUGCUACAGGUCAACUAACGCUAUAACUAAAACAGGUAAAUAACGCUACAGGUAAACUAACGCUACAGGUAAACUAACGCUACAGGUCAAGUAACAGCUACAGGUCAAGUAACAGCUACAGGUAAACUAACGCUACAGGUAAACUAACGCUACAGGUAAACUAACACUACAGGUAAAUUAACGCUACAGGUAAACUAACGCUACAGGUCAACUAACGCUACAAGUAAACUAACGCUACAAGUAAAUUAACACUCCAGGUAAACUAACGCUCCAGGUAAACUAACGCUACAGGUCAAGUAACAGCUAUAGGUCAAGUAACAGCUACAGGUAAACUAACGCUACAGGUCAACUAACGCUACAGGUAAACUAACGCUACAGGUAAACUAACGCUCCAGGUAAACUAACAGCUACAGGUAAACUAACGCUACAGGUAAACUAACAGCUCCAGGUAAACCAACGCUUCAGGUAAACCAACAGCUACAGGUAAACCAACAGCUACAGGUAAACUAACGCUACAGGUAAACUAAUACUACAGGUAAACGAAUGCUGCAAUUAAACAUGAGUUCCUCACUGUGCUAUUCACCCUUGGGACUCUACAUGACAGAACACAUAACUUGCUAUGGUGAAGUAACUAUGCUGAUGAUGUACCAUCUCUAUAUGACACAUCAAGUAACCUGGGGCCAUUCUUUUGAUGAUAUCAUACAUACAGUUUCAACUGAUUUACUCUCAGCGCAGCUGGUAGUGGGCUUACCUGCUUAAACUCCAGGGUUCUCACAUGGGUUUUUGGGGGGACAUUCAAUUAUAACUGUUAAUUUGUAUGACCUGCUUUCUGCUUUUCAGCUUUUGCGAUAAACCACUAAACCAGGUCGAGCAUGCAUAUUCAAAGUGACACUGGAUCAAGGCAACAACCAGCAGUUUCCUUAUCCUAAAAUUAAACGAUCUAGUGUAGCGAUACCGAAAUCUCAACUAAUGGUUUAAUUCUCUAUGCAGGAAAAACCCUGACUACAGGUAAACUAGUGUUACAGGUAAACUAACAGCUACAGGUAAACUAACAGCUACAGGUAAACUAACAGCUUAAGGUAAACUAACAACUACAGGUAAAGUAAUGCUAAAGGUAGACUAACAGCUACAGGUAAACUAAUGCUAUAGGUAAGCUAACAGCUACAGGUAAGCUAACAGCUACAGGUAAACUAACAGCUUAAGGUAAACUAACAACUACAGGUAAAGUAAUGCUAAAGGUAGACUAACAGCUACAGGUAAGCUAAUGCUAUAGGUAAGCUAACAGCUACAGGUAAGCUAACAGCUACAGGUAAGCUAACAGCUACAGGUAAAUUAACACUAUAGGUAAACUAACAGCUACGGGUAAACUAACUGCUACUGGUAAACUAACAGCUACAGAUGAACUAAGAGCUACAGGUAAAGUAAUGCUACAAGAGAACUAAGAAGUACAGGUAAACUAAAAGCUACAGGUAAACUAAAAGUUACAGGUAAACUAGCAGCUACAGGUAAACUAAAAGCUACUGGUAAACUAACAGCUACAGAUGAACGAAGAGCUACAGGUAAAGUAAUGCUACAAGAGAACUAAGAAGUACAGGUAAACUAACAACUACAGGUAAACUAAUGCUACAGGUAAACUAAUACUACAGGUAAACUAACAACUACAGGUAAACUAAAAGCUACAGGUAAACUAACAGCUACAGAUGAACUUAGAGCUAUUGGUAAAGUAAUGCUACAAUUAAACUAAGAAGUACAGGUAAACUAAAAGCUACAAGUAAACUAAGAACUACAGUUAAACUAAUGCUACAGGUAAACUAAUGCUACAGGUAAACUGAUGCUACAGGUAAACUAAAAGGAACAGCUAAACUAAUACUACAGGUAAACUAAUACAGGUAAACUAAAAGCUACAGGUAAACUAACAGCUACAGGUAAACUAACAGCUACAGGUAAACUAACGCUACAGGUAAACUAACGCUACAGGUAAACUAACGCUACAGGUAAAGUAACGCUACAGGUAAAGUAACGCUACAGGUCAACUAACACUCCAGGUAAACUAACGCUCCAGGUAAACUAACGCUACAGGUCAAGUAACAGCUAUAGGUCAAGUAACAGCUACAGGUAAACUAACGCUACAGGUCAACUAACGCUACAGGUAAACUAACGCUACAGGUAAACUAACGCUCCAGGUAAACUAACAGCUACAGGUAAACUAACGCUACAGGUAAACUAACGCUACAGGUAAACUAACGCUACAGGUAAACUAAUACUACAGGUAAACGAAUGCUGCAAUUAAACAUGAGUUCCUCACUGUGCUAUUCACCCUUGGGACUCUACAUGACAGAACACAUAACUUGCUAUGGUGAAGUAACUAUGCUGAUGAUGUACCAUCUCUAUAUGACACAUCAAGUAACCUGGGGCCAUUCUUUUGAUGAUAUCAUACAUACAGUUUCAACUGAUUUACUCUCAGCGCAGCUGGUAGUGGGCUUACCUGCUUAAACUCCAGGGUUCUCACAUGGGUUUUUGGGGGGACAUUCAAUUAUAACUGUUAAUUUGUAUGACCUGCUUUCUGCUUUUCAGCUUUUGCGAUAAACCACUAAACCAGGUCGAGCAUGCAUAUUCAAAGUGACACUGGAUCAAGGCAACAACCAGCAGUUUCCUUAUCCUAAAAUUAAACGAUCUAGUGUAGCGAUACCGAAAUCUCAACUAAUGGUUUAAUUCUCUAUGCAGGAAAAACCCUGACUACAGGUAAACUAGUGUUACAGGUAAACUAACAGCUACAGGUAAACUAACAGCUUAAGGUAAACUAACAACUACAGGUAAAGUAAUGCUAAAGGUAGACUAACAGCUACAGGUAAACUAAUGCUAUAGGUAAGCUAACAGCUACAGGUAAGCUAACAGCUACAGGUAAACUAACAGCUUAAGGUAAACUAACAACUACAGGUAAAGUAAUGCUAAAGGUAGACUAACAGCUACAGGUAAGCUAAUGCUAUAGGUAAGCUAACAGCUACAGGUAAGCUAACAGCUACAGGUAAGCUAACAGCUACAGGUAAAUUAACACUAUAGGUAAACUAACAGCUACGGGUAAACUAACUGCUACUGGUAAACUAACAGCUACAGAUGAACUAAGAGCUACAGGUAAAGUAAUGCUACAAGAGAACUAAGAAGUACAGGUAAACUAAAAGCUACAGGUAAACUAAAAGUUACAGGUAAACUAGCAGCUACAGGUAAACUAAAAGCUACUGGUAAACUAACAGCUACAGAUGAACGAAGAGCUACAGGUAAAGUAAUGCUACAAGAGAACUAAGAAGUACAGGUAAACUAACAGCUACAGGUAAACUAACAACUACAGGUAAACUAAUGCUACAGGUAAACUAAUACUACAGGUAAACUAACAACUACAGGUAAACUAAAAGCUACAGGUAAACUAACAGCUACAGAUGAACUUAGAGCUAUUGGUAAAGUAAUGCUACAAUUAAACUAAGAAGUACAGGUAAACUAAAAGCUACAAGUAAACUAAGAACUACAGGUAAACUAAUGCUACAGGUAAACUGAUGCUACAGGUAAACUAAAAGGAACAGCUAAACUAAUACUACAGGUAAACUAAUACAGGUAAACUAAAAGCUACAGGUAAACUAACAGCUACAGGUAAACUAACAGCGACAGGUAAACUAAAAGCUACAGGUAAACUAAAAGCUACAGGUAAACUAAUGCUACAGGUUAACUAAAAGCUACAGGUAAACUAAGAACUACAGGUAAACUAAUGCUAGAGGUAAACUAAUGCUACAGGUAAACUAAAAGCUACAGGUAAACUAACAGUUAAAGGUGAACUAAUACACCAGGUAAUCUAAUGCUACAGGUAAACUAACAGUUACAGGUAAACUAACAGUUACAGGUAAUCUAAUGCUACAGGUAAACUAAUACUGCAGGUAAAUGAACUGCAGUGGAGGUAAAUAAAGCAGACAGGUACGGUUCAGUUUAGUUUUGAGGCUCUUCAGUAUGUGUUGUACUUGCUGGUUUCCAAGUGAAACCAGUGUUACUGCAGCAGUGCAUGUGUUUUG